rnacentral:tRNA from 1 species
GGAGUUGUGGCUCAGUGGUAGAGCGCUCACCUUGGAUGAGCAAGGCCCUGAGUUCAAUCCUCAGCACCA